GACGAACGCUGGCGGCGUGCUUAACACAUGCAAGUCGAACGGAAAGGCCCCUUUGGGGGUACUCGAGUGGCGAACGGGUGAGUAACACGUGGGUAACCUGCCCUUGACUUCGGGAUAACUUCAGGAAACUGGGGCUAAUACCGGAUAGGAAUCCUUGCUGCAUGGUGGGGGUUGGAAAGCUUCGGCGGUUUUGGAUGGACUCACGGCUUAUCAGCUUGUUGGUGGGGUAGUGGCUUACCAAGGCUUUGACGGGUAGCCGGCCUGAGAGGGCGACCGGCCACAUUGGGACUGAGAUACGGCCCAGACUCCUACGGGAGGCAGCAGUGGGGAAUAUUGCACAAUGGGCGGAAGCCUGAUGCAGCAACGCCGCGUGUGGGAUGACGGCCUUCGGGUUGUAAACCGCUUUCAGCAGGGGCGAAGCUUGUGGUGACGGUACCUGCAGAAGAAGCACCGGCUAACUACGUG
rnacentral:rRNA from 1 species